UGAUCAACUGAAAAAGAGAUUGAGUGUCUGUUAGCAGGACAGUAUGCACACUGUUCAUAUUUCUCCAGAGUGAGCAGUCCUGCAGCUCCUCAGCCAGAACAGCAGCCUUGGAGGCAGCCUGUGUGCUGACUGUAACACUGGGGUGUCAGCCAGGUCCUGCUGCAACUUUGUGAACAGUCUAUACUAAAGAUGAGUCUGGCAACCUGCUUGGUGCAGCAUCAAUAGACACACAAAGGGGGAGCCAAACACCUCACAGUUUAGCAAACAUUGGUGUUUCCCCUUACUGGAUUGUAAGAGACCAUAGGUUCUGGCCCUCACUGUAGUUCUUGUCUGAUGUGUCCAUUUCUAUGUAUUUCACAGUAAACACAAUAAUUAACCAGUGCCUCACAGUCACUGAACUGGCCCACUCUGCCCUACCAACACAUCAGUGCAGAUGUUCAAUGUUUUCUCAGCAGCCAAAACUGGGAAUACAGCCAAAGGUUUGAACUGGAGUGGCAUUGAGCACAAACACUAUCACACUAUACAGUCCAUUGAAUGCCCUGCCUCAAGGCUUUCUGCCUCUAAGGGUGCCACACCAUCCACUGACACCAAGGCAUGACUACUUAUGCAUAGGUACUCCUCUCUGCAGGGCUAGUUAGUAUGAAAACAAAUCAACAUGGGCUUACCAGUGCCACCUGCAAGCCUAACUCUGCACAGGAAUACUCAACUGAAGAGCACAGACUGAAAAAAAUUAUUAACAAAAGGAAUGAACAGCAGUGCAUUUUGUGCCUAUGGCCAAAGAGUCUUUCAGCUGAUGCCUGAAUAUGGGUAAUAGGUAACAAAAAAUCCAAAAAAUCCACAUCCCAAUUCAAUGGGAGUAAAACUCCACUGGGAAGCUCCUCUCCACAAGGAAGCCAAGACAAUUUAUGGCACCUGAACAAUUGCCUCACAACAUCUAACCAAAGUCAAGUCAUGGCAGAAGGAAAGAGAUAAAUCUUGUCCCACCAGCUGUAGACAGAAGAAGAGUCUUUAACAACUAGAAACACUUCACCAACAAAGAUGUUCCUCUGGGACCUCUAUUAAGGUCUUCCUCAAUUCCUGCUGCCAAAUCCAAGUUCAUAAAAAAGCAUAUCUUCUUAUUUCUAUGCCUCUUGAAAUGGCAGUAGGUGGGAACAGCAGAUCUUUGUCAGAUUUUCUGUGCAUAUACUUACAGAACUACCUACACUGCUUCCCAAAAAUCCCAAGAUUACAUACAUUAUCCCUCAGUGCUUGUUCUGUAUUUCAGAGGAAAAGCCAAGAGACAAUUCCACAUGCUGGUAUUUCUUUCUGAGGAUAGGUUCAUUUUCAGGCCAACCCUGGUUAACAAUGAUGAAUGGAUCUCAAACACAGUGCCCAGAAAUUUGAAGAUUCAUUGCAGUAGAACUCAGAAAAUCAGAAUGAAGCCUCUGUGUAUGGUUGAGUAACAACUUACUCAGCUGAAAUUAUCCAUGUUGAAGUGACACGGGACCAAAGGCCUUUGUGGAUGAUGCUGCACUACUAUCUGUCAGAAACCUGCCUCAUCUCUUGCCCUGGCAUCAAGAUUAAGGCUGGGUGAAGUCUGAUCUUCGCUGCUGCUCAAGCUGUAAUCUCCAUGAGGAAGAACACCCAGCUCCCAGAGGUACCCUCAGCCAGUCACUGACCCUCAGGUGCUCAUCACUCAGCUCAGGAAGUGACAACACUGCCAGCCUUUCUAGAGUGGCUGCCACUCUUCCAUUCAGCUGACAGGUGCCUCAGGCACUGGUUCCCUGCCUGCUGAGCUCCAAGGGCUCCAUACCAAGCCUUCAGUGCACUGCCUGGCACAAGAAGCUGCCAGCCCACCUCUUCCCACUGCAAGCCAAAAGAAGCUGUCAGGACCCUCUCCUUGCUCCAGACUGCCAAAGACAGACAGCAGGAACAUGGAAAAACAGAGAGGGAGAAUUACAUUGAACAGUUCAUGGGAUGCCAAGAUGCAAGGGGUAAAAAGCCCUGCUCUCAUUGACAAGGGAGAUGCAGAAAGCACACUGUAAACCCAUGCUCCGCAGCCACUGCAGGGUGUGGGAGCCAAGGUGUUUCUUCUCCGCCCAUCACUAUUGCAAUGAUGCAACUGCAUUGCUGCAAUGCUGUUUGCCUCGGAGUUCUGUGCCUGGCCAUGACACAGCAUCAGCUCAGCCACGAUGCAUAUCUGCUGUGCCCCCUGCAGCUCUGGCACCUCUCGCCUCAGCCCACUGCCGAGUAUGAUACAGCCAUUCCUGCUACUCCCAGCCCUUCACCUUCAAACCCUGCACACUGCUUCCCUGGGGAUCUUUUCCUAAUCACAGUCUAGCUUCUCCUGCUUAACCUGGCAGCAAAGCUGCAGAGCUUAGUCUGUGACAUGACAGCAAUUUCAUGGCAGCAGAAGGAGAUGCCACAAACGCGGCUCGUGUGCUGCAGGAGGAGGGGCGGGCUGCUCAGACUGGAGGCGGCGGCUGUCGCUCCCUCACAACUAUUGUUUCCACUACAGCAAGAGCAACACGGAACAUCUGUAAGCUGGAGACUGGCACACUUUGUACAAACUGACUGUUUUGCUGGGGUCUGAAUCAGCUUGGCUCAGCUCUUGUGAAGCGUGUCCACAUUUUCAUGCACACCAAUGGCAAAAGGCCAGCAGAGAGAAGCAGCAUCUGACCGACCUUCAGGACCACGAGCCUGAGCCCUGCCGUGGUCCCCAGUCCUGCACAGGGCUCCAUGCAGAUACAAAUGAAACCAAAUUCCCUUGGGCGGAAAAUCGCUUUGCUGUGGAUUAUUCGAAAUUACAAACCAAAUGUUAGAGCAAGAACAGUUGCAAAGAAAUUUAAAAUUAGCCUUUUCCCAUUCACCCACUCCCCCCAGAGCUUGUGGUAUCUAAAAAUACACAACAAAAUUCAAAUAGCUUUUAGACAUGCAGUUCUCAAAUCUGCUUCUUGGGACUACUAAAACACAGUAACAGAAAAAAUAAAACUGCCAUAAGAUUUACCAAACAGUAUUUAAAAUUGGUGCAGUGUGUCAAAAUACAAUGCAGCACAAGUUAUAGAAACCACACACUUCUUCACAGCAUCGAUACCUAUGCAGGAAUCUUUCAUACAAGAUGGAGCUUAAAAAAAAAAAAAAAAAAGAAAGCCAUUAUGUAUUCUAGGCAUACAGAAAGAUUCCAAGAGAGUCCAAGAAAUGGAAUAGUGUUUCCAUCAAACAGCAGCAUCUGUCCAGACUGCAAUUCCAAUAUAUGCUAUUACAUUUUUCCUUUUCUUCCACAAAUGGAACAUCUUCCUAUUAGAUCUUCAUCUCUAAAUCAAGUGAACCAUAUAUUUUUAAUUAUUUACAGUUUGCUUUACCAUUUAUAUACAACUCACUUCAGAUAAUUUAUUCAGCACACAGGUCUAAGUGCUGUGCUGCUUAAUUCUUGGUUUGGACCUUUAGAAUUGCUGCAUUGCAGCUUUUGCCAACCAAAAAAGUCUUUGCAACACUCAAACCCAGAUUUUCCAUGCUUAGAGGGUGAGGAAACACUCAGCAGUGAUUUCACCCACUGUGUAAUUGUAAGGACUUACUAGAAUAUAACAUUGUCCAUACAUCUCUAGACAAACAAUGGCUGUUUUCUCUAAAAGCCAGAUUAGUCAAGAGCCCUGAAGAUGACUAAGGAUUUUAUGCUAAAUAGCCAUUCGAAAACAGUUUAAAUUCUCAAUCCACCUGCACUUCAGUUCUCUGUCUAUAAAGGCACGUGGUUUAAAAGGCAUCAGACCAAAUGCAAUAGACAUAAAAAGCCAUUAAGCUAUGUUAUCACACUUGCAAGCAAGACAUUAAUUUUUUAGCAUUUGAGAGGCAGAAUUCUUUGUUACUAAGGUUUUAAAGAGUCCACCGAGAGUUACAAAAGACACAGAAUUCAGUUCAGAGGGAAGGUAACAAACACAGGCUGAUAUUUCUGUUCUCCUUGAUUAUCUAAAUCUCCACAAGAAUCUUUGCAAGGAAGUCAUUAUUCAAAGGCUGAAGACCCACUGGCAAACAGUGGAAGAAGACACUCAGAGCCCCUCUGUGCUUCUAUGUACUCAUUCUUGCAGACUUAUUUCCCACAAUAUACAAUAUACAAGAUUUAUUUUUUUGAGUGUGUGUGGGUAUAUUUGGUGGUCUUUUGUCAGAGCUGGUCAGAUUCAGACCCAGCUGUGAUACAAAACAGUUAAAUUACCUCACUUUAAGCAAAGUACUUACAAAUAAGGAACACUUUAAAACUUAAUGGCAAAAGAAGAAAGAUAUCCUUCCCAAGAGGAAUGUUUGCUUAAAAACCUUUCAUAAGGAUCAAAGAGCUGUAAAUGGGAUUUCAUGAAGUACUGUCUGCUUAUAAAAGAUCUGCUUUUAAUCAGCAAUAUCCCUCUUUUUGAAUUUCACAUCUAGAUUACCCUCCAUUGGAAGUGGCUUUUAGCGAGGGUGAACCCUGAAUAAACUCUGGGAAUUCCUUGUAAAACACUCCAUCCUUGAGGCAUCAUUUCCGAUAGGCCACUAAUGGAGAAUCCUGCUUUUAAGGCUCUUUUCUUAACAGAUCCACUCUACUAUAUGGCAAUUAAUUUAGGAAGGAUUAUGCUGAUUGUAGUAGUGCUGUAUCUUGGUCCGUAGCCAAUGUAUUCAUUCAUCUUUAUUCAUUUAAGAGAUCUGAUGUUCUUUUGUUUCCCCUUUUGAGACCUGGCUUCCUAUUCAGCAGGCAGUUUCAUUGCUUAAUCACCCACUCUAAAGGGGCUACUCCUACAGCUACCAACUCCAUGGGGAUUUCUUCACUGAAAAUGUCAUCUUUGCUUGGCUUUUAGAAGGGAAGGACAACAAACAUCUUAUUGAUGACAAUAUUCAUUGGCAUCAGCAGGGGUUUCAUUUAAGCAGGGGCUGGAGGGUUGAAACCAUUGCAUCGUAUAUUGCUAUACCCAUCCCUUGGGUUACACAGGUUAUGUCAAUUAAAGGGGAUCUCAAAAUCCCAGCAAGCCAUUCAUAGGAAAGCUUAAACUUGGGAAGAAAAUAACAGUCAUUUACAGCAUGGCUGACUUCUCUAGGCCACUGAACUGAAAAUGUGUUUUAUCUAAGUUCUAAUCAGAAACCUGCAUCAGGUGACUGGGACAUAUCUGACUUGGCACCAAUCACAGUCAAAAUCCAACUAAGAGACCAUAUGGAAUCCCUCCUCUGACAGAGCAGGUGGAUGCACAGGAAACAGAAUAGUAGAAAAUGCCUUUAAGAUGAUGUUAGCAAUGACAAUUCAUGAUCAGCUAAAUGCAGUGGAUACCAUGUGCAUUGUUUGCACUCAGACACUUUGUGCUGUCAUGUUGUGUCACAUACCUACUUUUUCUGCCAGUGAGAGCAAGUUGUGAUGCUUGCUGCCUCACUUCACAUGGCAUCAGCCCUGACUUCCCUUCCACAGCCUCUUCAUUCUGAGCACUGCCUACUUCUCUAGCCAGCCACCGGGGUCCUCACUAUUACACAUAGGAGAUUUUACAGAGUGUAGACUUCACUGAAGUCAGCAGGAACAUUUAUUAUUCAUAAACAAUACCUUACAUCUUAAAACUCAUUAGGACAUGAGCCACAGAUGAAAACUUUUGUCUUGUGACAAACAAACAAUCCCAAAGUAUCUCUGCUUCAGGGGACAAGGCCACCAUCUGGACAUGUAGCAAGAUUAGAAACCUGCAAAUUAUUUUGCUGCUCAUCUCUAUUCCUUCUUUCUCAUACAAACAAAAGCAUUUAUCUCUCUCAUAUGUACAAACCCCAAGUUUAUCUCGACUAACUCCCAAGUGCUUCACAAGCCAGUGGUCUCUGCUGGCUCCUCUAAAUGAAAAUGGGAGUUUCACGCUUUUACCACUCAACUAAUUCUUGAUUCUGAAAGAAAUCAGACAACAGAUCCUGGUCUCUCAUCAGAAAAGUGGUUCAUUGGCAGCAGUUCUCUCAGCACUUGCAAGAAGAUUCAGACAAGCACCCCACUGCAUCAGAUGUCUUCACAGACAGCCACUGUCCCCUUUCCAAACCUGCCUGGCCUCCAGCAAACCACAGCUCAGUUCUGAUGUGGUGGCACUUAUGCCCUGCUGAGGGCACUGACUGAUGAACUUGCUUUGGCAGUUAAAGGAAUCACUGCCCCAAACCUUCCUUCUGUCCCUCUGCUAAAGGUUUCAGUCUCCAUAGAAAUGUCCCCAGAAGGACCUACUCUGAAUGUAAUUUAAGUCACCAUAUGGAACUGACAAAGGAAAAAGUAGCCACUUUUUCUCCUAUAGAAAAAAGAAAGGGAAAGAUGUGUCACAGAAUCAUGGAAAUGGUGGCUGGAAGACCAAAAACUUAUAGUGAAGCAGCUAAAGCAUCCCCAGAGCUGCCAGGCUGAAGUCCAGUCCACUACACCAUGUGAAUUCACUUCACUGACAGAUGAGUAAACUGAAAGGGGACAAGUCUGUUAAACAGACACACGUGGGAACGUGUAAUUUUGAGGAUUAAGCAAAUGUUCAAGAGUAAGAAGGCAUCCAGAAGUCCCAGGCCUUGGUGUUUUAAAACAGGACAAAAAGUGCUGUCUAAAUCAGCCAAAAUCUUGCACCAAGAGCAGAAUAGUAACAUGAGGCAGUGUUCCCAUGCCCAGCCCUCAGGAGGCUUUUCAAACACCUCUGGCAAGUAACAGAGCAAUCUGAGUGUAGCUUUUAUGUAGCUGUGUUAAAUAAAGGUGGGUGGUAAAAAAAACACAGGGGAGAUGCAGAAUAAAUCCAAACCUAGACACAGACUUUGGUCCACCAUUCCAGGUACUUACCACGUCCUGCAUUAGUAGGAUUUGUCCCCUCUGGUGUCCAAAAUGAACAGGCUGGCAGCUCUCACACUGCUGUUGUCUCACACCAAAACACCACACAUUAUCCCAGCACCUUGUUCAGACCAAACAGAGUUUCCAUCCUGAAGCAGUGUGUCACACAGCAGAAAUCCAGAUUAAUGAAUUUUUUCUCUCUCAAAGUAUUCUGCCAUCUUCAACUGAAGCCUACUUACUUCUCAUCUUUCUUCAUACCAAUUCUAAAUGUAACAAGCAAAAUUAUUCUCAGUGGCACUCCUCUGAAUCUCUUCAGUCUCCCCAUUUUUCUGCAUCUGUUUUUUUUUUUUUCUCAUGUAGUGCCAGAUCUUCUAUUCUCUUUUCUUGUUAUGCUAGUAGUGAGAUCCUUGGUCUGUAACAUCACAUUUUUAUGCUCUCUGUCUCCCUGUGCUUUACAGUCUGUCAGCUCAGGACCAGCAGUGCCUUUCCCCACUCAUAUGCCAAUCCUUGGACCAUACCCAGAAAGAUGAUUCCCUUUUUUUUUCCAAGGGAUUCAGGCACCAUUUUCCUCUCCCAAAUGCCUCCUUGCAUUUGCUUUGGUGACUAGCUAUUCUGCCUUUGCUCAGUAGAAUUGUGUUCACACCUCCUCUUCACUGAUCUCACAGAGAUUAUGUUUUAAUGGGUGCAGUUGCUGCUGGAACAAAUGUGUCCUGUCACAGGCAUUGAACAUGCCACAUGCCUUUUUUAAACCAUGGUACAAUUCUAAGUUCAUCUAAGCUCAGGCCUUGCUUGAAAAUUGCCAACUGCUACCAAAACACAGAAGCCAAAAUAAUUUGCAACAGGUAUUUCCGUGUCAUCAUCUCCAUUGAUUCCCUGUAAUACGUGGCACAAGAGGAGUAUAAUAGUGAUGUUAAAAGCAAUGGGCUGGGGGGUAUAUCCUGAAAACUCUGGUCUGCAUGAGAACAUCCUGCACAACCAAAGCACAAAAGAUUGCCACCUCUUGCACAAAAACACCUCGGCAAUGGAUGUGGUGGCUGUCCAUACUACAAGGGCUGGGAAAAGUGCUAAGUGCUCCUGCAUUCCUGACCACCCUUACACCAUGCACACCCUGCUCCACCCCCAGCUAACACUCCUGAACCAGGGGUUUGAAACCCACCUGCCAAGGACUUCAAUACAGUGCAGAAGACAUCACUGAAGUGCUUACACUUACUGGUUCAAUGCAUUUCUAUUAUACAUCCCCAGACUGCUCUGGUGCUUCAAAUACAGAGGUCCUUCCCCUCCCACUGCAGUUACACACAAGGGCCCAGUUUCUCCAGUCUGGCUCACAACUGAAUGGGACCUUACACUGGCACAGUGCUGGUGCUCCACUAACAGCAAACCUGGAUGCUGCAUGGGAUGCAUAACAGACAGCAGGACAAAUGAGAUAAAAUGCAAGAAGAAUGAAUUUUCACACUGAAAUGGAAAGAAAAAAAGAGGCAGAUGAAAUUACAACAAAUGGUGCAGAUUGGUAAAUGAGAGCAGGGAGAUGCCCAGGGCCAAAAAGGGAUGUGCGCAACAGUGUCUUUACCAUGAGCAGGGGGAGAAGGGAAAGCAGGAAUAAAGCUGCUUUGGGUAAAAGAGGUGCAGGGGCUAUCUAUCAGUCAGACCCUGCUGUCUGAAGGACUCAGGGGGCAAGGCAUAGUCAGACUAAGCACAAGGAGGAAGUUACGGCCACAUGCACCAAAAGCAGUAACCCAGACAGAAUAUCACAGGGUUGUCAUCCCUGGUAUCUGCUUCCACACCGACCAGAGGUGAAACCAGCUGCUGCCUCUUCCUUCCUAGUUCCUGAUGCUGCAGACCUGAUUCCAGAAGGAAGUUUUGGCCAGGUACUGACUGCUGACUGCAGUGCCUGUGGCUGGAUGCUGUUGCUGGGUGUUGCUGUUGUGUGCUCAGGACAGCUCCUGGCCCCAUGCAAGUAACACAGACUUGGUACUGGAAAAUCCACAGCAAAGUAUCAGCACCCAGGACACCAACACAAAUUAGUUUCUCACUUCUCCAAUAGAACCCAGGAGCCGGUGUAGCUCCAAAACCCAGGAGUGUGAGUGGGGGAAUGACAAAUGACAUUUUUAUAUUAUUUCAUCAUCACUGUUGUUGCAUACUUCUAUAGAGCUAUCAAAUUUCUUAGAGCCCAGAAGACUUGAAGCUACAAUGUAUUUCCUUAGUGGCCGGAUGAAACAUCUAAUUUACCACACUGGAAUGGGGCUUCAGAAGAUACACACGGAUAGAUGCUGUGGGUUCUUGUGGGACAGGCAGUGUGUACAAGGUCUGACACAAAGUGCCUGAUUUGCUUCUGCUGGAGGAGAAGGGCCAGAAGUGUAAAAAAAACCAAAAACAGUCCAGCCCCUGAUGCCUGCCAACUUCACUAAUGUUAAUUUAUGCCUUUGAUUUGGUCACAAAACUCAACAGUAAAGCUAAUGCAUAUUUAUUUAUAGAAGCUUCAGCACAUCCCAUUUUGAAGAGAAAAGGCUGAGGUUUGGGCUUUCUUUUUCACAGCAAUCCUCUCCACAGCACAGAGAAAAAAAAAUUUUGUGAGAAGUGAUGAAAUUAAAAGGAACUGUUGAUUCUAAGGCAGACUCCUAAUUCUUCCAGUUUCUCAUUCUACUCCGAACUGAGAGCAAAGAACUUGCUAUGGGUGUGACCAUGUUACACUCCAGGUUCAAAUGAAGACUGAGCCAUGCACAAAGCACCUGACACUCACCCAGAGGGUAACCAGGAUCUCCCCCGACCCAGACAUACCCUGAGUAACUGUAAGUCACACAACGCACUGAGGAACGAGGCAAGAGGAGCCAUCACCCAAAAAGCCACUGCAGCACCCAGGUUCAGCCCUGGCCACCAGGCACUGCUGCCUGUUGAUAGUGGAAACCUGCAUAAAUGCGGCACUUCGCUAUCAUUAAACUCAGCUUUUAGAAGGAUGUCGUUUCCCUCCCGAUCAGAUAUUUUGACUGAAGGAUGCUUUUAUUGUACAGGAGAAAGGCUCGAGGAGCUUACAGGCUUUGUAGCACUGGCAGCACUAACGCCGAAAAGCGCCGGGUUUGCUCGGGAAGGUGCCACACCCACCCGGCAGCCCGCUCCUCCAGACACCGAAACUCGCCCCGCGUCACACCGUGCCGGCUUUCCAGGGAAAAAUCCACGAACCCAAGCAACACGGGAGCUCACCCCGCUUCCCCGCUCAUCUCUACCCCAGGUGCCACAGCAACAGUGACCCCAUCAUCCACUGACCCAGUCCCCCAAGAGGAAAGCAACACCUGGAGACCAACACCGGUGCUGGGGAAAACCUCUGCCGUGCGGGCAAGCUCCGGCUGCGAUUUCCCGCACCACACCCCUAUCCGCCAGCUCUGCCUGUUCUUUAUCUCAGCCCCUAUAUACCCAGAUCGUGUGUAUUAAGGGAAAGCAUAAACUGUAUGAAAGAACCCAAGUCCUUUCUUUCUGGCAUGGAAAGCACGCCCUAUUGUAGCUCUCUCUGCUCGGGUACAAAAGCAUCUAGCGGGAGACAGGCGCCGAUAGAAGAGGAUGGUUAUGAUUAACUCUUUGACUUCUGAUUCCCACCACGCCUGAUGUAUUAAUAGCGCGCAGAGGUGUUGGUGCCGGCAUCAUGGCGCUCUUUGAUUUUCCACGCUUCCCCCCACGCCCACGCUCGCCCACCUCCCAUUUCUCCGCACCCUGUGCCUCCCCCCGGCCCACCGCCCCUGCCCCGCCGAGGCUGCGCUGCCCCUGCCCGCUGCGGGGGGCGGUGGCAGGGGCACGUUGUGCUGCGGU